UCCGUCCCUAACCCUAACACCCAGGUGAAAAUCGUGCGGGUAUUAAUCUGAAAAUUUACCUAAAAGCAAAAACAAAUAUGCACCAUAUAAAGGUAUAGAAUCGAGCACCGGAUGAUAUUUAAGAAAGCUCUUAACCAUUUGGCAAUUAUAAAGCUACGUUAUAAGAUACACGAGCGAAUAUUGACGUAAGAUGAGAAAAUCCUGAAGCGAAGUUAUCUCCUCUUGGGAGUUAUAACGAAGCUGUGAAUUUGUUGUGACCAGCUGAGCUGUCGGCAGGGCCGGAUUAAGACCUGUAGAGGCCCUAAGCAGUUAAAAGAUUUUGGUGACCCCCGUAUAUAUAUAAUUCAGUAUAUAAACGAUUCUCAGAAAUAUAUAUAUAUAUAUAUAAACAAACAACUCCAAAACACACAAACAAAAGAUAUGGCUAUAAAAAACUUUUUACCUUAUGUGUUAUUUUUAUUAAAAGUUGUUACUGCAAAUGUGGAAACUAACGAAAGACCAUCAUUUUUCUCAAUGCCGACAUAUCCUUUUAUUGCUGUUGUUUCUAUUAUAAGUUUAGCCAUCACAUCUUGGGUGGGAAUCUUUCUCUGCACAGACUGUUACAAUGCUGAGGUUGACAGUAUGAAUCAUCCAGCUUGUAAGACCCAGAAAACAAGCCAUCCAACACCAGAAGCAAAUCCACUUGCUAUGCAUUAUGGCGUUUCUCAACCAACAUUUCCAGUGUCACAACCAUAUCCAACAGCACCACAAAAUGUCAACUACUUUCCUGCACCAUCUGCACCUUCUCUAGAACCUGCGGCCGCUUUAUACUUUUCACCACAGAGGUAUGGUGCAAUGAAAGGUUAUGACACCAAUGUCUACUAACAAAACCUCUUUGAAACAUUGAACCUCAUUAUCAUUUGGUUUAUUGCUCAAAUUUUGUCAAAUAGUUCCUUAAUAUUUAUAGAAACAUUAUUAACAAGGGCUUUCAAACAUUUGUUUAAAUGUUAACCUUUAUUGUUCAUCAGCUUUUAAUGUAAUGUUUGUCUGUGUUAGAAUGGUUUUCAGAGCAAAUUCAUUUAAAUAAUAUAAACAUUAUUCAUGUGUGUGUGUGAGAGACCCCCUGUUGUAGCCAUGUAGGAUUUCAGCAGGUCUGGACAACUCUUCUUGAAAUCCAUGUAAAUAUAAAUAUUAUCUGUUUUUUUUUUUGUUUUUCUUUUUUUGCUUAUUAAACAGAUUAUGGUAGAUCCAGUUUAAAAACUGAUGACUACCCCUUUGGUUGAUAUUCUAAUUAAAUUUAUAUAACACACACAAACAUACACACACAGUUAUUACACUUCUGCCAGCUUAAACAUUCCCUCUGACCUAACCAUCCUAUUGUAUAUAUAUAUCUGUGUGUGUGUGUGUGUGUGUGUGUGUGUGUGUGUGUGUGUGUAUACACACACACUUAAUAAUAUAUAUAAUGCAUAUUUGUUUUUCUAGUUAUUGUGUAGUUUACCUUUGUUAUGUCUUACUUUAUUGAACAAAUUUAAUAUAACAUUCUUAUGUCUAUCGUUAUUCACUGUCCACCAUCUUGACCUUGUCUACUGGUGUGGAAGCCAUGUAACAUAUUCAUCUUAAAAAGUAAAAGGAAGCAUUAAAUAUUGUAGUCCUAGAUACAUCAUCAUCAUCAUCAUCAUCAUCGUUUAACGUCCGCUUUCCAUGCUAGCAUGGGUUGGACGAUUUGACUGAGGACUGGUGAAACCGGAUGGCAACACCAGGCUCAGAAAAGAAAAUGGGAUGGUCAAGGCUGGAAAAUCUGCUCAAUCAGUGCUGAUUGAGGUUGAAUAACAACAACAACAAUCUUAUUGCAUUGUCACUGUUUAACAAUGUUUUGUUUGCAUUUAAGUUUAUAUUUUAAUAUACUUGAUCAUGUUUUACAUUUUGCCUGCCAAGCUCAUUUUGUACUAUACUUCCUUUUGUACAAAUGAUUUAAUUUUGCUAUAAAUUAUGCAUCUUUUAAUUUUUUUUAACCAUACACAUAAACUACCACAUUGAUUUAUUGCAUGGAUAUCACUGAACAAAUAUAUUUAUUCUGAACUGCAUGAGUCACCCGUGAGACACAUGUUAAAUGCUAAAACAUCCAUUAUACUUCCAUUUAUGGAUUUUUUUUUUCUACAGAAUAUAUAAGCCCUAAUGGCUUGUUUUUCACAAAAAUUACUUUAUGGAGGGUAGCAUUCCAAUGAUGGACAUGACAGUGACUUGCACCCUUCUGAUACCUGUGUUCUGUACAUUUCUUCAGAUUUGAAUAAUGUGGUUUGAACCACAGUAAAGAGAAACUCCAAUGGUAGAUUAAGAAUAUAGCAUAGAUCACUAGUGACUCCUAUAAUAUAUUAAGUAUAUAGCAUGGGGAUAGGGUCAUUGGACAAGAAAACCCUCAGGACAAGAAAAAUGUUAAUGUAUGCAUAUUAAAAGAUUGAAAUUAAAAAGCCUGAAAAUAAACAUGUGGGUUAGUGAUAAGGUCUGCAAAAUCCUAAUAGUAUGGUAUUCAAACAAGAAGAGAGUUGGCAGGAAUUUAUUACUGUGGAGGAAGUAGAAAAUAUUUUGACAAGAAAAUCUGAUGAAAGACUAAAACUAGGUGAUCUAAAUGCAUUGCAGUAUUUUGCAGUGUGACCAACCAUUAGAACUGUACAAAUAUGGAUGUAAAGGACAAAAAUAGUAAAUGAUGUACAUAAGUUACCUUUUAUUUAUUACACGCUACCCGAAAGACAGGCAUCUACUGGUUUAAUAUGAUAUAUAUACCUAUGUAUAUUGACAUACGUCAUGUGAUGACAAAAGAGAUUGACCUGAAUAUCAUUGGGAAUGGAGGAAUAUAUUUAUUAAAUGAUGCAGGUAUAGAGACUUACAUUUAGAACUUUAAGUUUCUGUGUCAAGAAUUCUAUGAUUACUGUAUGUCUUUAGCUGUUGGAAGAGCCUGUAUGAUAUAUAAUAAUUGGUCCAAUAAACCAAUGAAAAAUGAUACAUAAAUAAAACUUAACUUGAUUGCAUGAGAGCCACUACAAGACAAUGGCUUGCUUGGAUAGCUUUUAGGAAAGUAAUAAACUUCUCCUUAUCUUUAUAUAACAAUAUAUAUAUAUAUAUAUAUAUAAUGCUGUCAUUAUAUACAUAUAUUUUAUAUUGACAAUAGAUUAUUUAUCUACACACACACACAUAUAUAUAUAUAUAUAUAUAUAUAUAUAUAAUGUAUGAUGUUCUCUUUUAUUUUCUACUUGCCA